rnacentral:misc_RNA from 1 species
CACCAUGCAUCUCAUGCCACGCAGUGGAUUUUCGAUUUUUUUCCUUUUCGUUAUUUUGCCUUUCUUGCACUUCACUACCUUCCUUUCGAAGGAAUCAACGCCUCUGCCCACUUCCGCCCCAUUCUCGCGCGCGAUACACAUACACAGACACACGAGUACACGCGAGUACAACCCAUCGUCUUUGCCGCUAUUGCUGGCAUAUGCUUCAUCCAUUUUUUUGUUUUCUUGGCGUUUGAGUGUGCAUGUGCGCCAAGGCUUAGUGGUAUAAGCCGCACUCACAUACUUUUCCGCUGCGCUCCUCCACUUGCUCCGCCCCCGCCCCCUUUCCUCUCUCGCUCAACCGCGGGGGGGCGUCGCUCUCUCUCCCUAUCCGAGAGGUGGCGGUGAGCGGCUGCGACGCACCCAUCUCCUCCUCUCGUUCUCUCUCCGCACUACGUCCCUCCUCUGCCAUCUUCGACGCGUUUUUCUAGUUUUUUUUUCUUUGGUUGCCCCCCUCCACCUCUUUUCCCUCUCUCCCUCUCUUUUCCCUUUUCGCCCUGCGCGCCUGUUUCCACGCACCCCUCAAGCUCUCCGCCCUUCCGUCCCUCUGCGUUGUAAAGCAAAAAAAAACAUCGACUAGAUGUUUAUACACAAACUUGCGAGCAGAAGCUGCACAUACUUAUCGCGCGACGAUCUGGGACCGACUCCCUCUCCCCCACCUCCGACUGAAGCACGUGCAUUCACAACGCGCUCUUCUUUAUUCGACUUCAGCACCCUUCGUUGAAUCUCUUCGGUGCGGCCGGUAGAGCUACUUCGUGUUGAGCUGCUCGUUCCUCUUUUUCGCUCCCUCCCUCUGCGCCGGCGAGUGUGACAGUGCCUGUGUGCCUUGGCGUGGCCCUGCGCGCCGGCGUUUGCGUUGGGCAUCGUGCCUUUGCGUCUUCGGUUGCUGUUUUCACUUCCUUUUUGUACACAUAACUCCUUGCUAGUGUUCUCCUCAGCCUCUUCCCCUCGCCUUCGCGCACCACGGAACACGUCAGCCCUCUGCCUCACUGCCUGACUCGGGCGCUUUUCUUUUUCUCGAGGGCGGCACGAUUGCGGCGACGGCGAGUAGCGCGCUCUCUGAGAGACCUUCCAUCUUGGCACUCCGCCCGGACUGUAGCCGUCGCCUACCGCUCCGCGCACUUUGUGCCGGUUGGCUGCAUUCGAAAGGGAGCGGGACGCACGAGCCACGGACGCUUUUGCGGCCCAACGCGACUUCUUCGUCGAGGCCCUCCCCGCCCCGCGUCGUCUCAGCUGCUUUGCUUUCUAGUGCGCCAAGAGAGGAGGACUCGAGGCACAGCGCGGCCGGUGGAAGGCGAGCGGCAGGCAGUCGUGCGAACGGGAGGCAGCACGUCGGAGCCGUUCUCUGAUAUCCCCUGCACACCCGCCAACGGUAGAUUUUACACGUAUACACUGCGGGUGCCUCCACUAAACACUCCCAAACGGAAUACGCUUCUUCAAGAUGGACUACGUGCUGGGCGUGCUGUACGUCACGAAGCGGUAUGAGCCGCUCGACACGUCGAGAGUGCACCCCGGUGGCUCGGUGCCGCACCGAACACAGUCAUCGCUUUUGCACCCCACUGCGUUUUCGAUGAACUCGCUGGCCGGCGUGCCGGUGAUGCCGGACAUCGUUGGUGCCGGCAGUGAGAACGACAAUGAUCACACCGCCGCUGCAGCGGAGUAUCUUCUCACCCCUAAGGCAGGUAGCACCAAUGUCUCAUGGGCAGUGCCUGUAUCGGUUACUGCGAAGGCCACACCGCUCGUCAAGGAGGCGAAGGUCGUUGAGGCUACGUCCCCGCUGCGGCGUGGCGGAAAUGCUGAGACAGAGCCGUCCUCGUCGCCUUUUCCGCCACGCACGCCUACACUAAGUGUCGACCGCGCCCCUGUGAUGACACUACCGCUGCACUUGCCAGGCUCCCGCCGUCGCUCGUCGUCCCUGGCAGCCAGUGGGAUGCUGCCCUUGCCUACGGCUGCCGCUGCGGCUGCGGCUGACCACACGCUUUCUUUUCCUCGUGAGGGCUCUGUGCUGAGCCCGUUAGUCCUGGGCGUGCCUACACCGGUUAUCACCAGUGACGCGGCCCACAGCGCGACCGGUGGAGGCGGUGGUCCAACAGCUUCUGGGGGACGCCCCGCUAUUCGGCCGCAACGACUAGAGUACAGCGUGCCCACCAAGGUGAUUGCGGGCAAGUACGUGCUGCUGUACCUCCCGCCGCCUCAACGGGCAGGCGAGACGUCCGCUGCGGGGUUGUGGGGCAGCGUUGGCGCUGGCAGUGCUCCGGUGUUCACUAGCUCCGGCGGCGCAGCUAGUGGUGGCGGUGGUGCCGGUGCCAGUGGCGCGCGUGCGCACCAGACAUCGACACUGCUGCAAAGUCCUCAGAUGGAUCCUUCAAAGCAGCGCCUAGGCUCCAGCACGUCGUCCUCUUCGUCCUUCAUGACCGGUGUAAGCCCUCAUACAAUGUCCGCCGGCGGCGUGCGGCCAAACUUCUCCGCGCCAAUGAGCAAGUCCGUCGACCCUUCAGUAUCCACGUCGACGGCGACGGUUGGCGGACACCACCUCAGUAAUCACCACGCCUCACACAGUGGUGCUGGCGGCGGCCCUGGCGCGGCGGCCCGGCAGGCCAUCGUACGCGCUGCUGCUGCCGCUGCGAGCACGCAGCAGAAGCUUCUCCUCUUCUACUGUCUCCUCCUGCAUGGUUUAGCGCACCAGAAGCUGAUGCAGGAGAAGACCAGCGCGCCGUUGCUGGAGGGUCGCGAUGACAUGGACCCGGCAACCACAGGGCCGGUUCCCGUCGCCGUUUUGGAGCUGCAGUACACGACAGAAGGACCAGUGCGCAGCAACCCGGGUGGGGUAUCGAGCACUUCCACCCUUGGUGGUAGCAUUGGCGCUUCUGCAGGGGCGGACGGACACGGCGGUGUAGCGUUGAUCUCUCCCGGGGGCACCGCAGGCGGUGGUGUCGGAGUGGGCAGCGCAGCUUCUCCGCCGCCCAGCGGCUCACGCACUCAAGUGUAUAGCCCUUUGCCAGUGUCCUUGUCCCCCCACAGCGGCCCUGACGGCGUACGCGGAGUCUCGAUGCAACCUGGCGCCUCCUUCAGCGGUGGUGGCCACUUGUCAACCACCGCCUCCGGCUCGGCUUCUCCGCGCGCAUCUUCCGCCAUUCCUUUGUUCCACAACGUCGGCGACCCUUUUGCGGCGCGGUCUGAGACUUGCGCAGAAGAGGGCAGCGCUACGGCUGCGGCAGUCUUGCGCGAGUUGUUGAGGGGCAGCCUCAGCAAUGCGGACGUGGUGGCCACGCAGCGGCUCAGCUCAGUCCUGCGCCACCUCCUCGAUGGCCAGCCGGACGUAUGGCUCAGCCCAGACAACAUUGUCUUCGACAGCGAGAUAACGCAGAGCCCGUACUAUGGCGGGUGGUACUCGGUGGAGAGCAACGACGGCUAUCGGCGAGUCAUGCAGAUGUGCAACAUACAGUCCUGGCCGGCCGUAGUGCUCGUCGACCCGGCUGGCAACGUCGUGACUGUGGAGGCGCUGCAUUACAUGGAGGAGGAGCUAGCACGCUACAUCGAUGAGGUGGACGCCAGCGUCGCAAGAGCGUCUGCACUACGUGCUGCGGCUCCCACCACUUCCCCCAUCGCGGCGGCCGCAUCACUAGCCACCGGCGCAGGGAGCACAUCGAAGUCUGCAACAGCGAAGGCUUUGGUGAGCGCGUCGUCUCCUUCGCCGCAGGCCAGCGAGGUCUCGCAGCAAGCGUCCGCUGUCCCGCCACUCCCUCAAUACAGGGCUGACAUCAUUGAACUAGACGUGACAGAGAAGUCGCGGUCGUCACCGCAGCCGCGCGCGCCACUCGUGGCGGAGUCGCCAGCAUUAUCGCUGUUGCAGGGCGUCGCCACGGCGGCGGGCCGCUCCAACACGAAUCCUCUGACCUCACACGUCGAGGUUGCGGCCGACGACGGCGACGCGUCCACUAGUGACUCCGCGCACACGCCAAAGAGGCGCAGCACAAGCUUAUUGGGCUCCACUGGCCGCCUUGAAAGCUCUGCCUCUGUACAUGACCCACAGAUCCCCACCGCCGAGCCCACCCCGAUAAAGGCGGCUCCUAUUACCGCGCACUACGUGGUGGACAGCAGUGGGCACUCGGCAACCUCGACAGCGACACCAGCGACGGCAUCGAUAUCGGCAGUGACCGUAUCUCCUCUGCUCCCCAACGCGAGCAUGAGCAAUAACGAGCUCGCUGCCGGCGUUCAGCAGGGUAUGAUGAGCCCCGGUCGGUUGGAGGCGAAGGACGAGCAGGGCGACGAACAAGGUGUGCUCAUCGCCGAGCAGCCGUUCGACACUGCAAUGCCGUCGCUCACUCGCUUCGCCACGGAUGACGACAGUGACAACACGUGGCAGAAGAAUGCAGACAAGGUGUGUAAGAAAUCGAUCAGCCUCACGACCCAGCCUUUGUGCCACCUCUCGAUGCCAGCGCUGUAUCGGAGUGCGACCACUACAGCGUCCUCGGCGACCUUCUCCCCCAACAACGUAUGCAUGACGAAGGGCCACGCAUCUUUCCCCAGCUGGGACCCAAAGGCCUACGGAGGCGACGUCGCCGGCGUGCUUGCAGUGAGUGACUUGGACUCGGAAAUGGACAUUCCCAAUCAACUGGGCAAGACGGAGGUUAGCGGCACCCGGGCGUCCAAAGAUUCCUCGUCAUCUGCCAGAGAAGAGGGGGGGAGGAACAAGGCGCCAACUAUUCAAGUCCCGUUAGCAUCUGCGCUACCGCUUGCAGAUGCCGUGGCGUCUAGCGCAGUGGCGCACGUGAAGACCGCGGAUGGCUUCAUCGCAGCCGCGCCAGGGGCUCCGUCAAUUUCACCGUCCUCCUCGCCAGCGCCGCUGCCGAUGUUUUCCUCACGGUUUCCAUGGAAUCGCGUGCUGGCGGAUCCGCUGACGGUGCACGCACCACUGUCCUUUGUGACAGCUAGCGUAGUCACAGCCACCACCGCCGCCUCUGCAGACGCACCGAAGAAGGACGAGAAUGCACCCAAGGGGGACAAGACCGGCUCGUCGCCGCCGUUGCCCUCCUUGCGUCCGUUCAGCCGUCGUGCGAGCGCAAUAACAUCACGCGGUGAGAGGCGACGUGGCGACGCGAAGGAUGGUAGAGAGGACUCGAGCGAUUUCGACCGAACCACAGGAUCGCCCUCGGCUGGGGCAGCAGGCGCUCGAUGCUCGACCACGCCAUCUAGAACGCCCGCUGCGACGGCGGUGGUGACGUCGUCCGCGGUGCCCCGGCACGCCGGACUCAGCAGCGCAUCGAACAGCAUCUCCGAGCCGCCGGCAGCUAUCGCCCUUUCGCACGACAACCUCUCUCCGCGGAGUGGUGGGAUGCGCGGAGCGGCGGCAGCGCCGCUGAUGUGGUCGGGGCGCCGCUUGCCGAUGCACCCGCUGCACCGCCUUGCCUUCUGCACAGUGACGGGGCGCGAGGUGCGGGAGCGGGCGCGUCAGGCAGCCAACGACACCGCCCUGUCGUCUUCAGAGCUUGGAAAGGCAAAUGGGCAGUCCAUCGCUGCGCCCGUGAUGCAGGAGGCUGUGCACCAGUCCAUGGCGGACGCCCCGAACGAAAGCCCCGUGCUUCCGUCCCUUUCAGUGGCGGACAGCGUCGACGACGCCAGCGCGCGUCGCCUGCCCGUGCAGCGUGGUUUAUCCUGCCAGCCCCGGUCGCCGCUGCCUUCCACCCCGGCGCCACCGCAACCGUCACUGUCGGACGCUGCGACGCAGCGGAUCAUGGAACGGCUGCUUGAGAACUGGCAGCGCGAGGUUUCAGUGAAGCUCCAUCAGUGCACGCAUCUCUUGAUCCUCUUCGGCGCUGGCUGGCAUCCAGGAAUGCCGAAGUUUGUGCGCGCGGUGCGCCGUCUAUACAGCGCCAUCAACCCACCCCCAUCUGCAUCGGCGGGCGCACCGGCCUCCAGGAAAGGGUCCCACGACGACGGCGGUGAUGCUGGGGGCUUGCGCGGAGGUCUGAGCGGCCUGAAGGUGCGGGGCUCCAACAGCCAGCUGAGCGCUGAGGACGAUGAUGUCGCACCGUUCGCUUCUUUGAAGGGCUUCGGCAACUCCUUGAUGGACUGGGCCGGCGGCGGCCUGGUCGGCUUUGCCGGUGGCUGUGGGGACGCUAGCAGUCGCCAUGACAUGCGCAGCUUCUGCAGCUUUGCUCACGCCGACGCUGACGGCGGCAACGCAUCCGAGGAAGGGGAGCGCAUGGCAAGUGCGUCUCCUUCCGUUGAGGCGGCUGCCGUGGCCGACAAAUGUGCCGCAUCGGACGCGGCACCGCGCCGCUGCGUGCAGGUCAUCUACGUCAGCGCCGAUGAGUCGCUGCAAGGCGUGUGCUCCGCCAUGACUGAGAUGCCGGCGGACUGGCUCUGCGUCUCCCCCUACGUGGCACAAAGCACACUGGAGCGUCAGCUACAGAAACACGCGAGUGAGAUGGCGCGCUGUAUUUUUCACGUCAAGUCCUUCCCGCGCAUGGUGGUCGUCGAGUUGCCCUCUGCACAGCAACAGCAGCAACCUACGAACGCAGGGCGCACGGCGGCCGUGCGUACCGGGGUCAUCAGCGCUGAAGACGGAGACGAGGUCGAGGACGAACUCGGCGACCCCGCUGGCACACUCAAGGCACUGUGCGACACCACCGUCAUGUCGCAGCAGCUGCUUGGGCAGCGGCUCGACGGACUUUGGAAGGUGGUGCAGCUGCACGGCGAGACGCACCUCUGCGAUGAUCCAGAGGGCAAGGAGUUUCCCUGGACUAGCGAGUCGGCUGAUGUGCUGCGCAUGAAGCACGAGAAUGUGUCGGCUUUUUCGCGCCUGGGGCAGCAGAUGUUCUCAUCCUUUACCAGUGACUUUCGGCAGCCGCAGCAAGAUCUUCUGCACACCGCUCUAUCUUCGCGUCCUUCGCCGCCGUUGAAGGGCAGCAGCCCAGACGUAUUCGAAGAUGCGAUGCUUCUGCGUUCUCCCACAGAGCUGUUGAGCGUGUCGGGUACAUCGACCAAGAAGGCGGCUGCCGUCGAAAAGGAUGGCUGGGCUGCCACCGCUGAUGCCGUGUCGCUGCACCAGCCAGUGGAGCGCCUCUUCCCACCCAUCAAACCGUUCCUCGUGGCAGACGGCGAGCUCCCGUCCCUGCUGGAGAGGGGUGGCUACUUUGUCGUCCUCGGCGCGUUCGGCUCCGUCGACUCGCAGCUGCACCAGCAGUGCGUCAACGCGCUUGAUGAGGUGCGACGGUGGUUUUACGCAGAGGUAGAGGCGCGCAAACAGCGUGCGUGGUCAGAGCCGACGCAGUUGCAGGUGAUGGCGCCGCACGGCACGUACGCAACGUCUUUCACUGUUGGCGGGGACCGGGUGACCUUGUCGCCCGCGGUGCUUCACGCCACCGCAGGUGGCAGCACCGGUUUGGAGGAGUACACAUUACCCACUCGCUACUCGCCGAGUAUCACGGCGGCCACAGCGCUGAGUGUUGCCUCCGGCGGAGCCGAUCUUGGCUCGGCUUCCGCGUUGCACCGCCCCGGCCACAUCAACUUCAGCAACCGUAGUGGCAGCGCGCCGCUAUUCUUGGAAGAUGGCUGGUCGGAAACGCGCGGAGGCCUGUCGCCCAAGCUUGCAGCGAUGAGCUCCCCGAUGCCUGGCCCACUCACUCUCCAGCUGGAUUCUCCCGCCGGAUUACACGGGCUUCACGUGAGCGGUGCCCAUUCACUGACGAGCGCUGCCACCGCGCACAAACCCGCCGCUGCCGCUCGCCCGUUGCCGACAGUGUACUUUUAUGACUCGAUCCUCAGCCAUCCGCCAGCGCCUGACUCACCGCCAUCCGCGCCAGCGACGCAUCACGGUGGUGGCGUGCGUGAGCAUGACGAGCACGGUGUCGACGAGGAGGGUGGGCUGCGGGUGAGGGCAACUCUGCUGCGCCAAGCGUCACCUGCGCCGACCGGCACACCAGCUGGGACUUUGCGUCGGCGGCUUGGUAGCGGUGGUGAGAGCGCGGAGGCCGCCGCCGCAUCUUCACCGUCGCUUGCACCACCGCCGCGUGUGCCGGAUAACACCUCGGCUCUUCGCCGUCAACACGCCAAGGACCUGGCACUCUUUCAGGAGUACAUCAUUGCGCCUAUUUUAGAGGCGGAUGAGAAGCAGCUGCCGGUGCGUGAGGGGGAGCUCUACCUGGCGUGCGUCCGGUGGCCGCAGCGGACGAGCGCGGUGCUGCGGCGCCGCCUGGCUUCCGAAGGGCGGCCAAACGCCUCAGCCCAAGCAUCUUCCACAGGGAGUGCCGCGGGCUUGCCAGCGUCUUUGGUGUCGAGCUCCGCUGCCGGCGGCUCGGUCGGAGGAGGCACUGCGUCUCCCGCGUCUGGCGUGAACCCCGCUUUGCGAGGUCUCUCAUCUUCGCAGUCGUCUGGGCAGGCGCAGGUGCUGCCGGAGGUGAUUACGCGUCGCUCCUCGACGCCGAGCGGUGCCUCUCCGUUGCCGAGCUCGCCGACAACGACACCGGUGCUUGGCAACGUCAGCGCAGUUGCUGCAGCUGCAACUACCGGCGUUGGCAGUGCAUCAAGUCACAUCAUCACUCCGGCCAUGACGCCUGUUGUGCUGCCAUCCUCCUCCUCCUCUACCGCGGCCAAUGCUGGCGGUGGCUCUGCAAGCGGUAAUGCAACUGACCUGAGCUCCCCGUCUCUUGGAGCCACAAACCCGCACACCUCGGCUGCCACGUCGCUGAGCAACACCAUGAUAGAGGAGGAGGGCAAGGAGGGGUCUCCCUAUCCGGACUCGACGCCGCUGGCCUCCGUGGAGGCCAUCAAGUCAUUCCUUUAUGAUAACGUUUUGCGCCUAAUGGAAUCCUGAGCAGGUUUUUUUUUUGGGGUGUGCUGUGGCCCGAGUGAUGUGCGACGAGGUGAGGUGUGAGGCGUGGGCCUGUGCUGCAUCUUUUCCGCUUGCUUGUGCCCGCUUGCCUUGAUUCGCUUGUUUACGUUGUGUGUUGUCUCUGUGCUUCUUUGAGUGUGUGUGUGUUUUCGCCUGUUUUCUGGGGUAUACGUGAGCGCGCCGUUCGAGAAAGCUAAGACUCACACGCUAGUGCACACAGACAUGCCGACACGCAUGGCCAUGCACACGCAUCCAACCAAGCGCUGGCCAAGUGGUUGUUGUAUGCCGAUGGGUGUUGCCGGGGCGUGCGCAGCUUGAUCUCGGGGUGGGCUGCACGUGCCGUGUCGUAACGUCUUGUGUUGUCUGUUCGUCUGUCUCUGUCUGUCUCUCUCUCUCUCUCUCUGUGUCCAUGUCUGUGUCUGUGUGUGUGUGUGCACGCCGCCUGUCUGUUCGACUCCCCUUUCGUUUCGUGUUGUUGUUGAUGUCGGUGUGCGCGUUGGUGACCGUCUGCAUUUUCAACUUUCUUACGUCGUCGUCGUCGUCCUUGUUUGAGUGAUGGCUGCUGCCGUGCACGAGUGCGUGUGCGUGCAGAGCGAUGUGAACGGUUGGUGCGGUUCUCGUGCAGCGAUGCUCACUGCUUCUCGAGAAGGUCAUGCGCGGGCUGAAUGAGAGAUGGCGAUGGCGACGAUGCAGGUCAUGUAUGCGCUGAUAUUGCGUUUUCGCGUAGCUGUAUGUUUCUGUUGUGUGCCAGGUUGGACAGUGCGUUUGCGUGGAACUCUCAUGGAGAAAAUGCCCGAAGCGCCCUAUUUGCCGCUCCUUCCUUUCCUCCGGCUGCCACGACCGCGUGGUAGCCCUGGAGGCCGACCGGGGGAUGCUAG